CUAGUCAAAGAGGAUUUCGACAGAAACUGCUUUAUCCAAAUUCAGGAAGGGAGGGUACUGCUGCUCAGAAUUUCUCCUGUUUCAUCUACAAUGCGGAUUUAAUGAACUGCACCUGGGCGAGGGGUCCGGCGGCCCCCCGUGACGUCCAGUAUUUUUUGUACAUACAAAACUCAAAGUAAGUGUUCACCUCAUGUGAAGAAUUAUGAGGAAUGCAGGGAUGGGAGAAAAAAUCAUGCUGGUUUUCUUUUUUUCCUUUUUCUUUUUUUAAGACAUGGUCUUGCUCUGUUGCCCAGGCUGGAAUGCAAUGGUGCCACCUCGGCUCACUGCAACCUCGACCUCCUGGGUUCAAGCAAUUUUCCUGCCUCAGCUUCCCAGGUAGCUGGGAUUCCAGG
rnacentral:sRNA from 1 species